rnacentral:rRNA from 1 species
GGAGUCUGGGCCGUGUCUCAGUCCCAAUGUGGCCGUUCAUCCUCUCAGACCGGCUACUGAUCGUCGCUUUGGUGGGCCGUUACCCCGCCAACUGGCUAAUCAGACGCAGGCCCAUCUUUCUGCGAUAGCUUACAAGUAGAGGCCAUCUUUGGUAUCUUUCCCAUGCGGGAAACAUACGUCAUUCGGUAUUAGCACCCCUUUCGGGAUGUUGUCCCCAUCAGAAAGGCAGGUUGCCUACGCGUUACUCACCCGUGCGCCGGUCGCCAUCAACAAAAGCAAGCUUUCGUUAUGCUGCCCCUCGACUUGCAUGUGUUAAGCCUGUAGCUAGCGUUCAUC